GGCCUGGGGGGUGCAGGGAGGGCCAUCAAUAGGGAGACAGGUCCCCCAGCAUCCCCCAGGGUCCCCCAGGGCCAUCCCUCAAAAGAAUGAAGAACGGGGAGGCUCCGUGCUGACACCAGCCGCACACAGCCCACUCCUGCUCCCCCAGGACGCCUCCAGGCUCCUCAGCCACCUGGUCACCCCGGGGCACCCUCACACUCCCUUGGAAGUCACUGUCACCUCAGUUAGGCUGAUGCUUGGGGCUCAGUUCUUGGGGCCGGGUGCUCAGAACUCAGUGCUCAGGGCUGGGCACGAUCCCCAGCACAGCUCCAUGGAGAGAGGAACCCACGUCACAGACGGGGAGGCCGAGGCUCGGAGCAGGCACUGGCCGCAGGCCGAGCUGGCUGACCAGGAGCCAGAGCAGGGCCCCUGCUGACCGCACCCCGGUGAGGGGGGGCAGAGCCACACAACAGGAGGUGCUCCCACGGAUGCACACACAGGGGCUUAGCACACGGGCUGGGACUGCGGUCCAGCGUCUCCCAACCCCGACAGCCCAGAAGGCACUUCUGUACCUUUCUUCCGAUCACACAGCGAGACAUCACUUCACGUCGCUGAGCGCGUGCACGGGGACCUCACACGACUUUAUAAAGAGGAGACAUUUGGGCGCUACUCUGCACCCUGCCCUUUGCACAUAACGAUGCCGUGGAAGUCCCUCCAGGCCAGCCGGUCCCUCCAACUCACUCUCACAGCUGCACGUCCAUCCUUGGUGGAGUCCUUGUCCUGCUGACAGAGGAGCGGAGGUGGGCCGUCCUCCUUGGCGUAGAGGUAUCGGGACCUGUGCGCUCCUUGGCAUUAGGUUAACACUUCUGUUAUUCUGUUCCCUCCACUACAGACGAGGCUGUGAAUGCUCUGACUUUACGUGUUAUCUUAUUUCCUCAUUCUUUGAAUUCUACGACAUAGAUUCUCACAGGUGUACUGAAAGUCUCGGUCUGUUCUGGGGUCUGUUCCGCGUAUCUGCUUUCCUGGGCUUAUGUCGACACCAAGUUAUUUUGGCCACUAGGCUUCACAGGGGUCCACUCUGCCGUGCAAAGUCUCUCCUGUUCUUCUCCUUAAUUUUCUUGGCUAUUCGCGGAAACUACCGUUCCAAAAUUAACCUGAAGAUAAUUUUAUCCAAUAGU